UCCUACGGGAGGCAGCAGUGGGGAAUAUUGGGCAAUGGAGGCAACUCUGACCCAGCAACGCCGCGUGAAUGAUGAAGGUCUUCGGAUUGUAAAGUUCUGUGAUGGGGGACGAAGAAAGUGACGGUACCCCAAUAGCAAGCUACGGCUAACUACGUGCCAGCAGCCGCGGUAAUACGUAGGUAGCAAGCGUUGUCCGGAAUUACUGGGUGUAAAGGGUGCGUAGGUGGUUUAACAAGUUGGUAGUGAAAUUCCGAAGCUUAACUUCGGCGCUACUGCCAAGACUGUUGAACUUGAGUACAGGAGAGGUAAGUGGAAUUCCUAGUGUAGCGGUGGAAUGCGUAGAUAUUAGGAGGAACACCAGUGGCGAAGGCGACUUACUGGCCUGCAACUGACACUGAGGCACGAAAGCGUGGGGAGCAAACAGGAUUAGAUACCCUGGUAGUCCACGCCGUAAACGAUGAUUACUAGGUGUGGGAGGUAUCGACUCCUUCCGUGCCGCAGCAAACGCAAUAAGUAAUCCGCCUGGGGAGUACGGCCGCAAGGUUGAAACUCAAAGAAAUUGACGGGGACCCGCACAAGCAGCGGAGCAUGUGGUUUAAUUCGACGCAACGCGAAAAACCUUACCAGGUCUUGACAUCCUUAUGACCGCCUGAGAGAUCAGGAAUCUCUAGCAAUAGAGCAGAGAGACAGGUGGUGCAUGGUUGUCGUCAGCUCGUGUCGUGAGAUGUUGGGUUAAGUCCGACAACGAGCGCAACCCCUGUAUACAGUUGCCAAUAUUAAGUUAGGAACUCUGUAUAAACUGCCGUGGCUAACACGGAGGAAGGUGGGGAUGACGUCAAAUCAUCACGCCCCUUACGACCUGGGCCACACACGUGCUACAAUGGCUAUUACAAAGAGCAGCGAAACUGUAAAGUCGAGCGAAUCUCAAAAAGAUAGUCUCAGUUCAGAUUGUGGGCUGCAACCCGCCCACAUGAAGUCGGAGUUGCUAGUAAUCCCGAAUCAGCAUGUCGGGGUGAAUGCGUUCCCGGGUCUUGUACACACCGCCCGUCACGCCAUGGGAGUUUGGAGUACCCAAAGUCAACGGCCUAACCGCAAGGAGGGAGUUGCCUAAGGUAAUACAAAUGACUGGGGUGAAGUCGUAACAAGGUAGCCGUAUCGGAAGGUGCGGCUG
rnacentral:rRNA from 1 species